UGAAAUUCCAUGAAUUUUGAUCCCCCUCAUUCCAAACGAACUUCAGAGAAAGACAUUGUCCACUCAGGACUGUAUUUUCCGAUAGACCGAUCCGCCAGAUCCAUUCAAAAUACUGCAGCCGAUGUGAAACUGGGCAUAAACUUUCGGCUUGCAGCUUACGUUAAUGCGCUUAUGAAAGUGUUUCAUACAUAUUCCACGGCAGGAUUUGCUUAUUAAUAUACCAAUGUAACUCC